rnacentral:rRNA from 1 species
UACGAAGGGGGCUAGCGUUGCUCGGAAUCACUGGGCGUAAAGGGCGCGUAGGCGGCCGAUCAAGUCAGGGGUGAAAGCCUGUGGCUCAACCACAGAAUUGCCUUUGAUACUGUUUGGCUAGAGACCGGAAGAGGUCAGUGGAACUGCGAGUGUAGAGGUGAAAUUCGUAGAUAUUCGCAAGAACACCAGUGGCGAAGGCGGCUGACUGGUCCGGUUCUGACGCUGAGGCGCGAAAGCGUGGGGAGCAAACAGG